rnacentral:rRNA from 1 species
AGUGAACGCUGGCGGUAGGCCUAACACAUGCAAGUCGAACGGCAGCACAGUAAGAGCUUGCUCUUACGGGUGGCGAGUGGCGGACGGGUGAGGAAUACAUCGGAAUCUACUUUUUCGUGGGGGAUAACGUAGGGAAACUUACGCUAAUACCGCAUACGACCUACGGGUGAAAGCAGGGGAUCUUCGGACCUUGCGCGAUUGAAUGAGCCGAUGUCGGAUUAGCUAGUUGGCGGGGUAAGGCCCACCAAGGCGACGAUCCGUAGCUGGUCUGAGAGGAUGAUCAGCCACACUGGAACUGAGACACGGUCCAGACUCCUACGGGAGGCAGCAGUGGGGAAUAUUGGACAAUGGGCGCAAGCCUGAUCCAGCCAUACCGCGUGGGUGAAGAAGGCCUUCGGGUUGUAAAGCCCUUUUGUUGGGAAAGAAAAGCAGCAGGUUAACACCCCGCUGUUCUGACGGUACCCAAAGAAUAAGCACCGGCUAACUUCGUG